rnacentral:rRNA from 1 species
AGCGAACGCUGGCGGCAGGCUUAACACAUGCAAGUCGAACGGGCGUAGCAAUACGUCAGUGGCAGACGGGUGAGUAACGCGUGGGAACGUACCUUUUGGUUCGGAACAACACAGGGAAACUUGUGCUAAUACCGGAUAAGCCCUUACGGGGAAGAUUUAUCGCCGAAAGAUCGGCCCGCGUCUGAUUAGCUAGUUGGUGAGGUAACGGCUCACCAAGGCGACGAUCAGUAGCUGGUCUGAGAGGAUGAUCAGCCACAUUGGGACUGAGACACGGCCCAAACUCCUACGGGAGGCAGCAGUGGGGAAUAUUGGACAAUGGGCGCAAGCCUGAUCCAGCCAUGCCGCGUGAGUGAUGAAGGCCCUAGGGUUGUAAAGUUCUUUCGGCCGGGAAGAAAUCGUAUGGGUUAAUACCCUGUGCGGAUGACGGUACCGGCAUAAGAAGCACCGGCUAACUACGUG